rnacentral:rRNA from 1 species
UUAUCAAUAAGCGGAGGAAAAGAAAGCAACAAGGAUUCUUCUAGUAACGGCGAGUGAAGCGGGAACAGCUCAAAUUUUUUAAAUCUGGCUGCUUUGCGGCACAAGUCCUCUGGAACUUGGUAUCGUAGAGGGUGAGAAUCUCGUCUUUGGUCGUUGUCGCGCAGGCAUAUAGCAGUCAUCCGAAGAGUCGAGUUGUUUGGGAUUGCAGCUCCAAAUGAGUGGUAAACUCCAUCUAAGGCUAAAUAUUGGCGAGAGACCGAUAGCGCACAAGUA